UACGGGGGGGGCAAGCGUUGUUCGGAAUUACUGGGCGUAAAGGGCUCGUAGGCGGCCAACUAAGUCAUACGUGAAAUCCCUCGGCUUAACCGGGGAACUGCGUCUGAUACUGGAUGGCUUGAGUUUGGGAGAGGGAUGCGGAAUUCCAGGUGUAGCGGUGAAAUGCGUAGAUAUCGAGAGGAACACCGGUGGCGAAGGCGGCGAUCUGGACGGUGACUGACGCUGAGACGCGAAAGCGUGGGGAGCAAACAGG
rnacentral:rRNA from 1 species